UAAGGAGCACCAUCCACCGAAAGGUGGCAUGGAGCCCGCGGCCCGCGAAUGUCGGGUCGGGGUGCUCAGAUGGCGGAGACACUGGCAAGUUCGGCGCCGGCAACCGGGAUACCUCUAGUACAGCCACUUCGGUGGUGGGAACGAGUUCCUGGUGCGGCUGGUGAGGAGCGUAAGCACCCUGUUGGGUCCUGAAAGAACAACCCGAGAUGGUUGUUGUUUCAGAGCCUUGAGAUGCCCCGUGUGGACGUUGGUCCCGGGGGCGUGAGGCGCAGGCAUGGCCUGUCUCGCAAACCGUGGCCACGUGGUGUUGCAGGUGUGGGGCUGUGGGUUGUGGGUUGGUUGUUUGUUGAGAAUUGCACAGUGGACGCGAGCAUCUUUGUGGUCAA
rnacentral:misc_RNA from 1 species